CCCGGCAAUAAAUUACCGGGCUAUUUUCAAUCGUCCCUACGGGACU
rnacentral:sRNA from 1 species